CUUCAGGUUCCUCUUGUUGACAAUGAGGAUAACAGGUACACCGGCUGUUCAGGGUUGCGUGGUCAUGCAAUGAUGUCCCUGUAAAUCACAGGGCACAAAGCUGGAUGCAUGUUAAGGGCUCCAUCAGAUUGGCCACUUACGUUUGCUCUAAGACGUACCUUGUAAGUUUCCAUUGUGAUCGAAGUCACUAGGCUCCACCAGAAACGCAGGGCUGGUACACAGGCAUUCAUAUUUAAAAACCAUUUCCCCCAGGAGAUUCUACAUGCCUGAUCCGAUUCAACUCCCUCAUUUACAGAAAGACAAAGUCUGUACCUCCCUGAGCAGCUGUGGAUUAAGAGAUGUGAUGAUGGUGGGGCUAGAGAUAUGGCUCAACGGUGAAAAGACUUGUAUUCGGCUCCCAACAUCCUCUUCAAGGUCCCAAGCAGCUCUGUACAGGGAAGAUGCACAUCUGCCUUCUGUGAGACAGAUGAGAAUCCAUCAAGGAACAAGAGAGCGGGGAAGGCCCUAAAGAACAUGCAGUCCCACAUGUUCUUUUCACAGACAAGAAAACUAAGACUCCAAGAAGGAAGAAUAACAGCCUGGAUAACACAGCAAGUUGUUUUUAAUUGAUUAAUUGGUCUUACUUGUCAAUUUAGCACAAUAUAGAGUCACCUUAGAGGUGGGUCCUGGUGGGAGAUUGGCU
rnacentral:lncRNA from 1 species